rnacentral:lncRNA from 1 species
UUUAAUUCACAAGUAUAAGUCAUAGUGUGUGGCAUGAUGGAAAUGGAACUGACCUUUCCAAAUCUGAGUGUGGCCACUGCAGCAUCUCCACCGUCUCCCUCACACACACAUGCUUGAGGAAGCUGAGAUCCAGCCAAGUUCACAUAUCUAGUAAGUGACAGAACCUAGAUACCAACCCAAGCAUCCUGACUCCAGAGCCUUCUUCGCUGUACCAAAGGCUUAGGUCACUCCACUUGUUUGUUUCUGGUCAAACAUGUGUUGACAAUCGUGUGGAUGCACACCUAGAAUGUUUUGGAAAGAUCUGUGAAAAU